rnacentral:rRNA from 1 species
CUACGGGCCGCUCCAGUGGGGAAUUUUGGACAAUGGGGGCAACCCUGAUCCAGCCAUGCCGCGUGCGGGAAGAAGGCCUUCGGGUUGUAAACCGCUUUUAGUCGGGAAGAAAAGGCCAGGCCUAAUACGUCUGGUUCUUGACGGUACCGGCGGAAUAAGCACCGGCUAACUACGUGCCAGCAGCCGCGGUAAUACGUAGGGUGCGAGCGUUAAUCGGAAUUACUGGGCGUAAAGCGUGCGCAGGCGGUUCGUUAAGUCUGAUGUGAAAGCCCUGGGCUCAACCUGGGAAUGGCAUUGGAAACUGGCGGGCUUGAGUGUGGCAGAGGGGGGUGGAAUUCCGCGUGUAGCAGUGAAAUGCGUAGAGAUGCGGAGGAACACCGAUGGCGAAGGCAGCCCCCUGGGCUAACACUGACGCUCAGGCACGAAAGCGUGGGGAGCAAACAGGAUUAGAUACCCGAGUAGUC